rnacentral:rRNA from 1 species
ACGGCUCAGUAACACGUGGCUAAUCUGCCCUUGGGACCGGAACACCCCCGGGAAACUGGGGCUAAUUCUCGAUAGGUGAAGAACUCUGGAAUGAGUCUUCGCUAAAAAGACGCUUAGGUUAUGCUCUUAGGCGUCGCCCAAGGAUGAGGCCGCGACCGAUCAGGUUGUUGGUGAGGUAAUGGCUCACCAAGCCUUUUACCGGUGCGGGCCGUGAGAGCGGGAGCCCGGAGAUGGGCACUGAGACAAGGGCCCAGGCCCUACGGGGCGCAGCAGUCGCGAAAACUUUGCAAUACACGAAAGUGUGACAGGGCUAUCCCGAGUGCCAUCCGCUGAGGAAGGCUUUUACCCAGUCUAGAACGCUGGGGGAAUAAGGAGAGGGCAAGUCUGGUGUCAGCCGCCGCGGUAAUACCAGCUCUCCGAGUGGUGUGGAUGUUUAUUGGGCCUAAAGCAUCCGUAGCUGGCUAAGUUAGUCCCUUGUUAAAUCCACCGAAUUAAUCGUUGGAUUGCGGGGGAUACUGCUUGGCUAGGGGACGAGAGAGGCGGACGGUAUUUCCGGGGUAGGGGUGAAAUCCUAUAAUCCCGGGAAGACCACCAGUGGCGAAGGCUGUCUGCUAGAACGCGCCCGACGGUGAGGGAUGAAAGCUGGGGGAGCGAACCGGAUUAGAUACCCGGGUAGUCCCAGCUGUAAACGAUGCAGGCUAGGUGUUUGGACGGCCACGUGCCGUUCUAGUGCCGCAGGGAAGCUGUUAAGCCUGCCGCCUGGGGAGUACGAUCGCAAGAUUGAAACUUAAAGGAAUUGGCGGGGGAGCAC